CAGAGUUGCAAGACUCCCUAAAACCAUUGUGAACCUACCUUCUACCGUUGCUUCGGCGGGGCGGGCCCAGCGCCCCCCCCGGCCCCCCGCGGGCCGCCCGCCGGAGGAUACCCAAACUCUUGACAUUAGUGGCCUCUCUGAGUAUUCUUUACUGAAUAAGUCA
rnacentral:misc_RNA from 1 species